rnacentral:rRNA from 1 species
UACGGAGGGUGCAAGCGUUAUCCGGAUUCACUGGGUUUAAAGGGUGCGUAGGUGGGUCUGUAAGUCCGUGGUGAAAUCUCCGAGCUUAACUUGGAAACUGCCAUGGAUACUAUAGGUCUUGAAUACUGUGGAGGUCAGCGAAUAUGUCAUGUAGCGGUGAAAUGCUUAGAUAUGACAUAGAACACCAAAUUGCGAAGGCAGCUGGCUACACAAAUAUUGACACUGAGGCACGAAAGCGUGGGGAUCAAACAGG